CAAGCCUUGGUGCCAAUUCCAACUGCUCCAGGCAUAGUGCUGUAGUGGGGCAUGGCUGCCAGGCUGGGGCAGCAAGCAGACAUGGGGUAUAUGACAGUGGCCUCUGGACAGCAUUACAGGCCACUGUGCUGCUUUCUUUGGGCAGGUCUCCACUUUAUGACAGUGCCACUCUGUCAUAUAAUUACUGGAGCUUUGUAGCCAGUCUUAAAAUCAGGAUCUGGUAUGGGUGUUUAUAAAGUGCUGCAGAUUUUCUGUCAGUACUUCUUAAGUGGCAUUGCAUAAAUUUUGAUAUAAUGUUUUUAUUUUCAUCAGUUCAAAAUAAUUUCUAAUUUAACUUUUGACUUAUUCUUUGUUUUAUGUUAUUUAGAAGUGUGUUGCUUAGUUUUCAGAUAUUUGAAACCAUUUCAAAUGUCUUUCUGCUUUUGAUUUCUAAUAUAAUUUAUUUGUGGUCAGAGAACAGACUGUAUUCCUUGAAACUUCUUAAACUGAUACAGAUGUGUAUGUGUUUUCUGGUCCAGAACAUGGUUUAUCUAAGUAAAUGUUCUGAGUAUGCUUCAGAAGAAUGUGUACAGGAAAUGUUCAGAGUGUGCUUGGGAAGAACGUGUACAGGAAAUGAUCUGAGCGUGUUUGAGAAGAACGUGUGCAAUGAGUGUUCAGAGUGUGCUUGAGAGGAACGUAUCCGGGAAAUGUUGGGAGUGUGCGUGAGAAGAAUGUGUACAGGUAAUGUUCGGAGUGUGGUUGAGAAGAGUAUGUAUACGAAAUGUUUGGAGUGUGCUUGAGCGAAAUGUUGUGUAUUCUGCUUUUCUUGCAUGGAGCAUCCUGUUAGUAGCUUUUGGGUCAGCUUGGUUGACAGUGUGGUUCAAAUCAUCAAUAUUUUUACUAAUUUUCUUUCUGCUUAAUUGAUCAGUUAUUGAGAAAUGAGUAUUGUAAUGUCUAACUAUAACUGUAGGUUUAUCUAUUGCUCCUUGCAGUUCUAUCAGUUUUUUAUUCAUGUAACUUUGGAACUCUGCUAUGAAGGCAAAAAUGGGUAUGACUUUUAUGUUUUUGUGAUGAGAUUACCACUGUAUUAUUAUAAGAUAAACUUUC
rnacentral:lncRNA from 10 species